rnacentral:rRNA from 1 species
GAAGUCCUUCGGGACAUCCAGACAGGUGGUGCAUGGUUGUCGUCAGCUCGUGUCGUGAGAUGUUGGGUUAAGUCCCGCAACGAGCGCAACCCUUGUAUUCAGUUGCUACGCAAGAGCACUCUGGAUAGACUGCCGUUGACAAAACGGAGGAAGGUGGGGAUGACGUCAAAUCAUCAUGCCCCUUACGACCUGGGCCACACACGUACUACAAUGGCGCACAACAGAGGGAAGCAAGACAGCGAUGUGGAGCAAACCCCUAAAAUGCGUCCCAGUUCAGAUUGCAGGCUGCAACCCGCCUGCAUGAAGUCGGAAUUGCUAGUAAUCGCGGAUCAGCAUGCCGCGGUGAAUACGUUCCCGGGCCUUGUAUACACCGCCCGUCACACCAUGGGAGCCGGUAACACCCGAAGUCAGUAGCCUGACCGCAAGGAGGGCGCUGCCGAAGGUGGGAUUGGUGACUGGGGUGAAGUCGUAACAAGGUAGCCGUAUCGGAAGGUGCGGCUGGAUCACCUC